rnacentral:sRNA from 1 species
UACGCGGAUGCUGAGGCGGCCAUCAGUUGCAGCGCAGGCGAGGAUUUCGAGUCGCUUUGAUGGGAGGCAAGUUGAUGUUGCUGCUGCUGCUGCUGCUGUUGCUGCUGCUGCUGCUGAUGUUGCUGCUGUUGCUGCUGCUGCUGCUGUUGUUGCUGCAACAGAU